UACGGGGGGGGUAAGCGUUGUUCGGAAUUACUGGGCGUAAAGGGCUCGUAGGCGGCUUGUCAAGUCACUUGUGAAAUCUCUGGGCUUAACCCAGAACGGCCAAGUGAAACUGACAUGCUAGAGUGCAGAAGGGGCAAUCGGAAUUCUUGGUGUAGCGGUGAAAUGCGUAGAUAUCAAGAGGAACACCGGUGGCGAAGGCGGCGGCCUGGGUCGAGACUGACGCUGAGGCGCGAAAGCGUGGGGAGCAAACAGG
rnacentral:rRNA from 1 species